rnacentral:rRNA from 1 species
AGUGAACGCUGGCGGCAGGCCUAACACAUGCAAGUCGAACGGCAGCACAAGAGAGCUUGCUCUCUGGGUGGCGAGUGGCGGACGGGUGAGGAAUGCAUCGGAAUCUGCCCAUUUGUGGGGGAUAACCUCGGGAAACCGGGACUAAUACCGCAUACGACCUACGGGUGAAAGCAGGGGAUCUUCGGACCUUGCGCAGAUGGAUGAGCCGAUGCCGGAUUAGCUAGUUGGAGGGGUAAAGUCCCACCAAGGCGACGAUCCGUAGCUGGUCUGAGAGGAUGAUCAGCCACACUGGGACUGAGACACGGCCCAGACUCCUACGGGAGGCAGCAGUGGGGAAUAUUGGACAAUGGGCGCAAGCCUGAUCCAGCCAUGCCGCGUGUGUGAAGAAGGCCUUCGGGUUGUAAAGCACUUUUGUUGGGAAAGAAAAGCAGCCGGUUAAUACCCGGUUGUCAUGACGGUACCCAAAGAAUAAGCACCGGCUAACUUCGUG